GGCGGGAUAGCUUAACUGGUUAAAGCGCACAUCCACUAACUACCCUUCUGCAUUCCCGGUCGUUUUGGUAAAGCCAUUUUGGUCGUCGGGUUGGGAGGGGUACGUGCUGGGCUGUGUGAGAUGUGGGUUCGAGUCCUGCUCCUGUCA